rnacentral:rRNA from 1 species
UGGGGAAUAUUGCACAAUGGGGGAAACCCUGAUGCAGCGACGCCGCGUGAGCGAAGAAGUAUUUCGGUAUGUAAAGCUCUAUCAGCAGGGAAGAUAAUGACGGUACCUGACUAAGAAGCCCCGGCUAACUACGUGCCAGCAGCCGCGAUAAUCAUGCUGU